GUAAGGAAUAUUGGUCAAUGGGCGAGAGCCUGAACCAGCCAAGUCGCGUGAAGGAAGAAGGAUCUAUGGUUCGUAAACUUCUUUUGCAGGGGAAUAAAGUGCAGGACGUGUCCUGUUUUGUAUGUACCCUGAGAAUAAGGAUCGGCUAACUCCGUGCCAGCAGCCGCGGUAAUACGGAGGAUCCGAGCGUUAUCCGGAUUUAUUGGGUUUAAAGGGUGCGUAGGUGGUUUGAUAAGUCAGCGGUGAAAGUUUGCAGCUUAACUGUAAAAAUGCCGUUGAAACUGUCGGACUUGAGUGUAAAUGAGGUAGGCGGAAUGCGUGGUGUAGCGGUGAAAUGCAUAGAUAUCACGCAGAACUCCGAUUGCGAAGGCAGCUUACUAAGCUACAACUGACACUGAAGCACGAAAGCGUGGGGAUCAAACAGGAUUAGAUACCCUUGUAGUCC
rnacentral:rRNA from 1 species